UAUACAGGAGGAGAUGGAACAAGAUGGCCAAAUAGAAGCCUCCAGCAAUCAUCUCCCCCAAAGGAAUUGAACAACUAUCAAAACAAAAUUGAACAACUAUCUAAACAAAAAAAGUACCUUCAUAAAAAGCAAAAAUCAGGACACAGUGUUCUGCCUCUCCUGAGUAAGCAGCAACAAGGCACCAUCUUGGAAUCAGAGGGCAGCCCUCACCAGACAACUAAAUCUGCAGACACCUUGGACUUCCCAGCCUCCAGAACUGUCUUUCUGGCAACUGUCUAAACAUAAACCAGAGAAGGGCAAGGCAGACUCAGGAAGGACAAAUAGAAGGCUAUUUUCAUAAAUCGGAACACCACCACAUGUGCAGCAUCCCUCUGGGUCUCUUCCAUGACAACCCUGUGGGAAGCCAGGCAAGUGAGAAUCAAUGUAAACAUGAAGUUCAUGCUGCUUACUGUGUCGUGAUAAUGUCCC
rnacentral:sRNA from 1 species